rnacentral:tRNA from 1 species
AUUUAAAUAGUUUAUUUAAAAUAUUGAUUUGUGGUGUCAAUGAUAUGAAGUUAUUCAUUUUAAAUC